UCAGACCAACAAAAAAAAAAAAAAAAAACUCCCAAGAACAGAACUUCUGACCCCAGAAAAAACUCCCAAGAACAAGAACACAACACAGAGAAAAGAAAAACCCUAGCUCUUAAGAUGUCUGGAGGUCGAUCUGAUGAAGACACUGUGUGUCUCAAAGUUCAGUUCAACAAGGAUGGAGUUCAAACUUUUUUCCGGGUUAAACGAAGCACCAAACUGCAAAAACUCAUGGAAGCGUUCUGUAAAAAUCGUUCCCUUGACCCCAAAUCAAUAGAAUUCACGUUUGAUAGCGUCCGACUCGAGAAGAACAAAACUCCUGAGCAGCUUGGAAUGGAAGAUGGUGAUCUGAUCGAUGCCCUUGUGUCCGGUGAUGGAGCUUAAAAAAUUA